rnacentral:tRNA from 1 species
AUUUAUAUAGUAUAAAAAGUACAAUUAAUUUCCAAUUAAUCAGUUUAAUAUUUAAUAUAAAUA